ACAUCAUUAAAUAAGAAAAGGAGUUUCAUUUAUAUAUUCAGAGAUUUUCGGAUUUUAGAAAUCUUUAUUUUUUAUUUUUUUGUCCGAGAUGAAACAUUAGGGUUUCUUAUGGGAGAUCUGUUAGAUUAUUAUCGGUGGUUUAUAAGAUGGAGAUUGAUAAUUUCUCCUGGUUUUUUUGUUUGGUAUUGUUGAUUUUGGUUUCUCUGGUAAACUCACUGCUAAAUAUAAAAUUGGGUUUUGAAAUGUUUCUAAAAUAUGAAGCUUGAGGUUGAAGAAGAUCAAAAUCGCUGCUGUGGGAGAAGGUGUGGAUGCCGGUGAAAAUGUAGACUAAACUCAACAUUGUCGAUUCCACAACGGAAAGGGAAGAUUAAUUACGAGAUUUAUCAGAUACAAAUUGGGCUGAAGCUGCUGAUAGUUAUCAUGAAGCAUAGAAGCUUAAAAUUCAUGGAACAAAUCUCCAAAUUCUGUAGAAAUCAUAACCCGAAGUUCGAAGGUCAAAGAAUCCCUUGCCCACUUGACCCAUCUCAUUAAAUAAAAGAGAUAAAAAACUAACGAGUUAUUACGAUUUUCCUGGGCUACUGAUCUAUCUCUCUGUCUUUCAUUCUUCAAAGAAGUUUCUAUUACAGAAGACAAAAGGUCAUUGAAUAAACAAUGGAGCCUUACUCGCAACAACAGAUCAAAAAGCAGGAAUGGUCCAGCCUACCGAAGACCAAAGUUGAAAUUAGUUGAAGGAGUGGCGUGGCAUCAUAUGUACCGUCGAUCUAAAUCUGGAGUUUAUGCUCAAACUGUGUAGCAUAAUAGUUCCUUAGUAUUACACAAACUCUAUGGUGUUGAGGGAGAGAUUUGGGUAUUCCUUUCUUUUUCUCCACUAUAGAAAAACUAUUUGGUCUACAU